GACGAACGCUGGCGGCGUGCUUAACACAUGCAAGUCGAACGGAAAGGCCUCUUUCGGGGGGUACUCGAGUGGCGAACGGGUGAGUAACACGUGAGUAACCUGCCCUUGACUUUGGGAUAACUUCAGGAAACUGGGGCUAAUACCGGAUAGGAGCUCCUGCUGCAUGGUGGGGGUUGGAAAGUUUCGGCGGUUGGGGAUGGACUCGCGGCUUAUCAGCUUGUUGGUGGGGUAGUGGCUUACCAAGGCUUUGACGGGUAGCCGGCCUGAGAGGGUGACCGGCCACAUUGGGACUGAGAUACGGCCCAGACUCCUACGGGAGGCAGCAGUGGGGAAUAUUGCACAAGGGGUGGUAGCCUGAUGCAGCAACGCCGUGUGCGGGAUGACGGCCUUCGGGUUGUAAACCGCUUUCGCUCAUGACGAAGCUUUGUGUGACGGUAGUGGGUAAAGAAGCACCGGCUAACUACGUG
rnacentral:rRNA from 1 species